GACGAACGCUGGCGGCGUGCUUAACACAUGCAAGUCGAACGGAAAGGCCCUGCUUUUGUGGGGUGCUCGAGUGGCGAACGGGUGAGUAACACGUGAGUAACCUGCCCUUGACUUUGGGAUAACUUCAGGAAACUGGGGCUAAUACCGGAUAGGAGCUCCUGCUGCAUGGUGGGGGUUGGAAAGUUUCGGCGGUUGGGGAUGGACUCGCGGCUUAUCAGCUUGUUGGUGGGGUAGUGGCUUACCAAGGCUUUGACGGGUAGCCGGCCUGAGAGGGUGACCGGCCACAAUGGGACUGAGGUACGGCCCAGACUCCAACGGGAGGCAGCGGGGGGGAAUAUUGCACAAUGGGCGGGGGCCUGAUGCAGCAACGCCGCGUGCGGGAUGACGGCCUUCGGGUUGUAAACCGCUUUCGCCUGUGACGAAGCGUGAGUGACGGUAAUGGGUAAAGAAGCACCGGCUAACUACGUG
rnacentral:rRNA from 1 species